GUAAUGUCUUAGGUUUGAAAGCAAUAUCAUGGCAAAGGAUUACCGUGGCGCAGAAUUCAUAAAUCAUCAAUUUUCUAGACAAAUUCUCGGAUAAAUUUCAGGAUAUAAUAGAUACUACUUUGAGCUUGAGCUUGAGCUUGGUCCCGUGGUUGCUACUCGACUGUAGCAAGAUCAGCUGCACUUACAUAAGCAACAAUGGCGCCUGUCAUGCCAGGCAGACCAAUGAAGAGAAGGGGCAGGAAUUGGUGUUGCAUUUGAAACUGGCCCACAAUAAACCGGAUAUACCCCUGCAUUUUCGCCAGAUCUUAGAGCGGAUUUUGUUUUUCAACCCGGAGAAAAAUCCCACCGGAGUUAAACAUCGGAAAAGCGGUUCGUUACAUUGUAGGUUGCGAAAUAGCAACAACGGAAGCUCAAAGAUCUCACAGUUUUACAAGGGGAGACGCGGGAAGAGACAGCAAAAGGAUCAAAGGAUCACUCGCGACGAAGGCAAGAAGGCAGGAAAUGAGCUCACGCGGAAGUCGCAAGCUUUGAACUCGGUGCACUGAUGCUCUGCAGCUUCGCCGUUUGGGAAUUCCACUCUCGGGACAAUUUCCUCGUUUCGUAAUUAAAAAUUGACGGAAGGCUUUCUGGCUCGCGAAAAUAAAGGACGUAAUCAGGAAGGGCGAAAAUUCGAAUGAUAGAUAAGUCGUAUUGAAUCAUUAAUGCCAUUUAAAGUCGUGUCAAGUAGCCAUUUUAGGCUAUUUUAA